AAUUUAGCCAAUAAGAAGUGUUAUCGUUGUUUCACUGUAAGGAUGAGAAGGUGGGGGCUCCUCUCUUCUCACUCUCUUUUGCUUUUUCUCUCAACUUGUAAGCAUCACUAAAAUGUAUUGCUGCAUUUUGAAUUAAAUGAUCUUCCCUUUCAAA